UACGUAGGGGGCAAGCGUUGUCCGGAAUCAUUGGGCGUAAAGAGCGUGUAGGCGGUUCGGUAAGUCCGCUGUGAAAGUCCAGGGCUCAACCCUGGAAAGCCGGUGGAAACUGUCGAGCUAGAGUCCGGAAGAGGCGAGUGGAAUUCCUGGCGUAGCGGUGAAAUGCGCAGAUAUCAGGAGGAACACCAAUGGCGAAGGCAGCUCGCUGGGACGGUACUGACGCUGAGACGCGAAAGCGUGGGGAGCAAACAGG
rnacentral:rRNA from 1 species